rnacentral:rRNA from 1 species
AGUACGUACGCAAGUAUGAAACUCAAAGGAAUUGACGGGGGCCCGCACAAGCGGAGGAACAUGUGGUUUAAUUCGAUGAUACGCGAGGAGCCUUACCCGGGCUUGAAAUGAAGCGGAAUAGCGGUGAAAGCCGUGAACAAUAAAGACGCUUUGUAGGUGCUGCAUGGUUGUCGUCAGCUCGUGCCGUGAGGUGUUGGCUUAAGUGCCAUAACGAGCGCAACCCCUGCCUUCGGUUGCCAGCGGAUAAUGCCGGGGACUUCGAAGGGACUGCCGCCGUAAGGUGGAGGAGGGUGGGGAUGACGUCAAAUCAGCACGGCCCUUACGUCCGGGGCGACACACGUGUUACAAUGGGCGGUACAGAGAGCAGCAAAGCAGUGAUGUUGAGCGAAUCUCUAAAGCCGUUCUCAGUUCGGAUCGGAGUCUGCAACUCGACUCCGUGAAGUUGGAUUCGCUAGUAAUCGCGCAUCAGCCAUGGCGCGGUGAAUACGUUCCCGGGCCUUGUACACACCGCCCGUCAAGCCAUGGAAGUUGGGAGUGCCUGAAGUUCGUAACCGCAAGGAGCGACCUAAGGUGAUACCAGUAACUGGGGCUAAGUCGUAACAAGGUAACCGUA